rnacentral:misc_RNA from 1 species
GAUGAAGAACGUAGCGAAAUGCGAUAAGUAAUGUGAAUUGCAGAAUUCAGUGAAUCAUCGAAUCUUUGAACCCACCUUGCGCCCUUUGGCCAUUCCGAAGGGCAUGCCUGUUUGAGUAUCAUGAACACCUCAACUCUUUAUGGUUUUCCAUGAUGAGCUUGGACUUUGGGGGUUUUGCUGGCCUAUGGUCGGCUCCUCUAAAAUAAAUCAGCUUACCAGUGUUUGGUGGGUAUCAUGGGUGUGAUAACUAUCUACGCUUGUGGUUUUUCCGCCAGGUAACCUUCGACAGCGGAGGUUCACUGGAGCUCAUAGAUGUCUCUCCUCAGCGAGGACAGCCCUUUGAAUGUUUGAUCUCAAAUCAGGUAGGACUACCCGCUGAACUUAAGCAUAUCAAUAAGCGGAGGA